UUCAGGGGUAAACGGGAGAAAUCCGAAUAUCUGAAGGAAGUGAUUCACGUAAAAUCUACAUUGUACUAGAUGAGUGAUCGAUGAUUAUUAAACUCCUUAUAUGUAACUUGUUGCAUGUUAAGGGUUCCGUUUAGUGUCACGAUUCAUUUAUCUAUGUUUAUAAUGUGGUUUACCGCAUUUCUACCUUCCUUAUAUAAAAUAAAGACGUUGCGACCCAUUGGAUUCCAGUUUAAGAUAAUAUAAGGAGUCCCAUAGAACUUGCAUUUUUUUUUAAAAAAUGUAUUCGUUUUAUGUGGCCUUAUAUAAUUAUCUAACUGAUUAUUCGAUGGUAUCAAAAUUAGAGAUAACCCGCGUAUUUAAAACGCGUUUGGAUAUAUUUGUAAUUUUUUUAAUGUGAUUUUUCUCUUAGUACGGUCCUAAUGGUCCGUCUAAGUGUAAGCAUUAAUAACAUUUAUAUUCUCAAACUAAGUGGUUAUUUUUUAAAUCUCUUGUCAGCGGCGUAUAUGCUUCGGAAUUUCACCCGACCC
rnacentral:rRNA from 1 species